AACUGGACAGAGUUAGUUUCUAAAAGAAAUGUAUGGAGAUUAAUUAAAGACCUGAUAUCUUUCACUUUGGCAGAUUGGCAUGGAGCAUGUGGAGAAACAGGGAAACACACGUCAGUAAUGACAAGUACAUCGUAAUAAAUGAGAUUGGAAUGGAGCACAUGGAGGAAAAAAGGGAAUCACACACCUCAAUGACUGGGAAUUGCUGGUUAGGAAUUUAUUUUAAAAAAUCUUCAAAGAUGAAGCGAUGGUGGUUGGUAUAGAUAGUUAGACAGGCCUUGUCUGUGUCAGGUUUUUCUUUUUCAGGUAAUGGAGAGAGAGCAGGCAGAAGCGGGAGACUCACAAGAGCAACGAUGGACAUUUAUAUGAAACAGAGCCAUUAGGGCUCUGUUGGUUCUGUCUUUGUCUUUUGCAGGCUGGAGUGGAGCAGAAUAAGGAGACUCACAAGGGAAACGGUGGAGAUAUACUUGAAGACCUAGAGCUCAGUAAACAGGUAGAACUGCUUAAACAGACUAAACAAUGAAGUUAAUUUCUAAAAAAUGCAUUAAGAUUAAUUAAUUAAAGACUUGAUUUUUUUCACUUUGGCAGAUUGGCAUGGAGCAUGUGGAGAAACGGGGAACACACCUCAGUAAUGACAAGUACUGUACAUCAUAAUUAAAAAUGAUAUACUUAAAUAUUUACAAUAUUAGUGAUGGUUUGGUAUUUCCUUCAGAUCUUGUAUUGAACAAGCCAGUAGAGCUCUAUUGAUGUUGUCUGUCUUUUACAGAGUGGAGUGGAGAAACUAGGGAAUCACACACCUCAGAAAUGAUCAGAAACUGAUGGUCAGGUGUCACCUAUCGAUUAAAGAUGUCCUUCCAAUAGGAAGGGGGUGGAGGUGGGCUUGGGUAGUUAGAUAAAUGUUUUGUCUGUGGAAUCACACCUCAGCAAUGACUGGAAAUUGAUGGUCAGGAAUUUAUUUUAAAAAAUCUUCAAAGAUGAAGCGGUGGUGGUUGGUAUAGAUAGUUAGACAGGCCUUGUCUGUGUCAGGUUUUUCUUUUUCAGGUAAUGGAGAGAGAGCAGGCAGAAGCGGGAGACUCACAAGAGCAUCGAUGGACAUUUAUCUGAAACAGAGCCAUUAGGGCUCUGUUGGUUCUGUCUUUGACUUUUGCAGGUUGGAGUGGAGUAGAAUAAGGAGACUCACAAGGGAAACGGUGGAGAUAU
rnacentral:lncRNA from 1 species